UCUAUCCUGUUUGCUGCUGACGGCGGUCAGCUGACAGAUCCGGGAAGGUGCGUGAUGUUUACUUUUCUUUGUCGAGUGCGUGAACUUGCGCUAUUUUCCUGAAUGAAUGCAGCGAUAUGCGUCUCCUCGGAGAACCAUGGCCGUCGUCAACUCGGUGCUGAAGCUCGUGCAGCGGCAGACGUACACCUGUCUGUCCCACCGCUAUGGACUCUACCUCUGCUUCGGCGGCAUCGUCCUCAUGAUUGUUUCCGCCUUCCAGUUCGGAGAGGUGGUGGUGGAGUGGAGUCGGGACCAGUAUCACGUGCUGUUUGACUCCUACAGAGACAAUGUUGGAGGAAAGUCCUUCCAGAGCAGGCUGUGUCUGCCCAUGCCUAUCGAUGUGGUGUACACGUGGGUGAACGGCACAGACGUGGCUCUGCUGAAGGAGCUGAAGACGGUCAAAGAGCAGCUGGAGGAGGAACAGAGAGCCCUGAGGGAACGACUGGGCAGAAACGCCAGUGACACCACGGACGUGCCAAAGGACAGUGUGAAGCCAGAAUGUCUGCUGUCCCACUGCGUGGUCGCGCCCCUGCUGGUGCUGGACCCGGCGCUGCCCGCCAACGUCACCCUCAAAGAGCUGCCGUCGCUCUUCCCGUCCUUCUCUGCUGCCAAAGAGCUGCUGCUGCUCACCAAACCCACCCACCCGUCCACCGCCGCCUCGGUGCUCGUCUUCCAUUUGCAGGCGGAUGCUGAUAAAGCUUAUACAGAUGUGUCAAAAGAAGAGCACCACUUCUCUGUGUCCAGAUGUUACCUGACGACAGAUAAAGAAGCUCCAGGUCUGAUCCGCCUCCAGGCUCUGGCUUAUCUGAGCGGCUUCCCCGCGUCCGUCAAAGAGACAGAGCAGCUGAGAGUCAAACUCCCCGCGGUCAUCACCAACAAGAUCAAACAGUUUGAGUUGUACUCUGAGGCGAGCAUCGCUCUGCUGCACCUGAACAGCCCGCAGGACUUCUCUGAGCUGACGCAGCAGGCCAAGAAGAACCUGACGCUGGACGGCAAAGAGUUGACCAUCAGCCCCGCCUACUUGUUCUGGGACCUCACGGCCAUCUCUCAGUCCAAACAGGACGAAGACGUUUCCGCCAGCAGAUUCGAGGACAACGAGGAGCUGCGCUAUUCCAUGCGCUCGGUGGAGAAACACGCCCCCUGGGUGCGGCACAUCUUCAUCAUCACUAACGGACAGAUUCCCUCCUGGCUCAACCUGGACAACCCCAGAAUCACUGUGGUCUCACAUCAGGAUAUCUUCCUGAACCACAGCCACCUGCCCACCUUCAGCUCUCCGGCGAUAGAGACCCACAUCCACCGCAUCCCAGGUCUCUCACAGAAGUUCAUCUACCUCAAUGACGACGUGAUGUUCGGCAAAGACGUCUGGCCCGACGACUUCUACAGCCACUCCAAGGGGCAGAAGGUUUAUCUCACCUGGCCUGUUCCCAACUGUGCUGAAGGUUGCCCCGGAUCCUGGAUCAAAGACGGGUACUGUGACAAAACCUGCAACAACUCUGCGUGUGACUGGGACGGAGGCGACUGCUCGGGUGUCGCCGGGAACAGUCGGUUCGGGGUGGGGCUCGGUAAUGGCAGAGCCGGUGAAGCUGGUGGACAGGUGUGGCAGUUUCCAGGUGGUGUCGGAGGUCUGGGUGGGACGUCCUACUGCAACCAGGGCUGUGCCAACUCGUGGCUGGCGGACAAGUUCUGUGACCAGGCGUGCAACGUCCUGUCCUGUGGCUUUGAUGUGGGCGACUGUGGCCAAGAGCACUUUGAGGAGCUGCACCAUGUGACCCUGCUGACGGACCAGAGUCUGUACGUCCUCCCCGUGGGCGAGAUAAAGCCGUAUUUCAGCUUUGAGAGACUUGCUCGCCGAGUCUCUGAGGCCCACGUCAGCGACAGCGCGGUGGUCCGCCACACCUCCGUCGCCAACAAGUGGAAGACCCUUCAUCUGCUGCUGUACCCGGGUCACAACGCCACCCAGGUCCACUACAACCUCACUCUCCAGAGAGAAGACGACACUGAGUUCACGAUGACCUUCAGCGUCGCUGUGGACACGCGCGAGGUUCCCAAGGCCAACGUGACCAAGGCGCUGAGUGAAGACGCCAACAGAGAGCUGAAGCCGACGCCCACUCCAGAGCCGGUUUUUGCUUUUUCAGACAUUCCCGAAGACAAACGUGGUCCCAAGAUCAAGAAGACGCCACACGAUGACGCUCAGGUCUUCAUCGAGGUUCCUGCGGUCCACGUGACCCUGUUACCAGCUGUUGUGAGGAACGAGCUGCAGAAGCUGGAGCAGAAGCUUCUGACCGGUGACAUCACUGAGAAGGGUUAUAACCUCACGAUGGCUGAACUCCUCAGACCUUACCACACACUGGCUCAGAUGCAGCAGGGCAUUGAAGCCAAAGAUAAACCCCAGAAAGAUUUGGAGGAAGAGCAGGAACCUGGAGAACCUGUUCAGAAAAACCAAGACUCAGACGUCACGCCGCUAAUCCCAGUCCAGAUUAACGAUAAACAUAAGAGAGACUUUGCCUCAGCUACACUUCCUGCUGCCAUUGAACGACCUAUGACUUCCAAACUGCUGAACAGCCUCUCUAAAGUCAGAGGUGCUGAGAGUCAGGAGGAGGGCGAUGUUGUCGUUGGGAGGAGACUCCAACACUUCACCUCCUCUGACCGAGGCUUCCUGCCGUGGGAGAGGAGGAAGUUCUUUCACAAACUACUUGAGGAGGAAGAGCGUCUGCAGAAAGAGCUGAUGUAUGAGAGCGACGGCGCCGCCACUGGCCGGAAGCUGCAGGACACGUUUGCCGACUCGCUCCGCUACGUGAACAAGCUGCUCAACGGCCAGUUUGGCUUCACUUCACGCAAAGUCCCCGCCCACAUGCCUCACAUGAUCGACCGGCUGAUCAUGCAGGAGCUGCAGGACACGUUCCCAGAUGAGUUCGAUAAGACGUCAGCUCACCGCGUCCGUCACUCGGAGGACAUGCAGUUCGCCUUUUCUUACUUUUACUUCCUGAUGAGCGCUCAGCAGCAGCUCAACGUCUCUGAAGUGUUUGACGAGAUCGACACGGAUCAUUCGGGCAUUUUGUCCGACCGAGAGAUUCGAACGCUCGCCACCAGGAUCCACGAGCUCCCGCUGAGCCUCCAGGAUCUGACGGGUCUGGAGCAGAUGUUGAUAAACUGCUCCAAGACUCUCCCGACAAACCUGACCCAGCUGCACCUGGUGAACCCCACGCAGGAGACCUACUAUGACCCCAGCAUGCCUCCUGUCACUAAAGGCCUCAUCCUUCACUGCAAAACCAUCACUGAUCGCAUCCAGAAAGCCUUCAAAGACCAGAAUAAAUACAGGUUUGAGAUCAUGGGAGAGGAGGAGAUCGCGUUCAAGAUGGUGCGCACCAACGUGUCUCACGUGGUCGGACAGUUGGACGACAUCAGGAAGAAUCCCCGGAAGUUCAUCUGUCUGAACGAUAACAUUGACCACAGCCACAAAGACGCAGUCACGGUCAAAGCCGUGCUCAGAGACUUCUACGAGUCCAUGUUUCCACUGCCGUCCCAGUUUGAGCUGCCCAGAGAAUAUCGCAACAGGUUCCUGCACAUGAAGGAGCUCCAGGAGUGAGAAACACUCUGUCAGUGAUUCAGCUGCUGAGCGAACAGACCUGAGUUCCUGUGGCAGAACCUUCCAGAGGUCGCCCUCAGUAAGCGUAUGAUCCGCUGCGGUGUGAAUCCCUCGGGGCUUUAGAGGGAUUUUUCUCUGCUCCGUGUUUGGAGACUGUAAGACGAGAGCGAGCCGCUGAAGAUCAGUCGCUGAGAUUCUUGUGAGACGUCCCGGCACAGCUGAGCCCUGAGACACGUCUGGACUCACUGUGUCUCAGGGUUUAUCAAGUGACAGGCGGAUGGCGUCGGGUGAUGUCACCCUGUCACCCUGUCACCCUGUCACCCUGUUGCCCCGCUGACCUCUGGAUAAUUAUCUCAUUACAUCACAAGCGAGUUUAUCGGGACAAGCUGAAGUUCUGGACCCACUGUGUCCUCGUGACGCUCGUCAUCUUCACCAUCUUG